rnacentral:rRNA from 1 species
CGACCGGCGCACGGGUGCGUAACGCGUAUGCAACCUACCUUUAACAGGGGGAUAACACUGAGAAAUUGGUACUAAUACCCCAUAAUAUCAUAGAAGGCAUCUUUUAUGGUUGAAAAUUCCGAUGGUUAGAGAUGGGCAUGUGUUGUAUUAGCUAGUUGGUGGGGUAACGGCUCACCAAGGCGACGAUACAUAGGGGGACUGAGAGGUUAACCCCCCACACUGGUACUGAGACACGGACCAG